CCUACGGGAGGCAGCAGUGAGGAAUAUUGGGCAAUGGACGAGAGUCUGAACCAGCCAAGUAGCGUGAAGGAUGACGGCCCUAUGGGUUGUAAACUUCUUUUAUAUGGGAAUAAAAUGUUCCACGUGUGGGAUUUUGUAUGUACCAUAUGAAUAAGGAUCGGCUAACUCCGUGCCAGCAGACGCGGUAAUACGGAGGAUCCGAGCGUUAUCCGGAUUUAUUGGGUUUAAAGGGAGCGUAGGUGGAUUGUUAAGUCAGUUGUGAAAGUUUGCGGCUCAACCGUAAAAUUGCAGUUGAAACUGGAAGUCUUGAGUACAGUAGAGGUGAGCGGAAUUCGAGGUGUAGCGGUGAAAUGCUUAGAUAUAACGAAGAACUCCAGUGGCGAAGGCAGUUCACUGGACUGCAACUGACACUGAGGCUCGAAAGUGUGGGUAUCAAACAGGAUUAGAUACCCUUGUAGUC
rnacentral:rRNA from 1 species